UCCUAAGCCAAGAUGAAUACAAUUGUAUUCUUGGAAACUGUAGAGUCACCUGAGGAUACAAGGUGAGCUUUAUUUGGAAUUCACUGAUACAACAGUGUAAGACUUUGUUUUGAGAUAUACUUAGAUUUGUGAUUUCUGCAAUGUGGUGCAUAAAUUGUCAAGUAAAAGAGA